rnacentral:tRNA from 1 species
GUAAAUAUAGUUUAAAAAAAACAUUAGACUGUGAAUCUAAUAAUAGGAAAUAACCCUCCUUAUUUACC